AGGACGAACGCUGGCGGCGUGCUUAACACAUGCAAGUCAAGGGGGGCCGCAAGGUCAACCGGCGAACGGGUGCGUAACACGUGAGCAACCUGCCUAAGUGUGGGGGAUAGCCGGCCCAACGGCCGGGUAAUACCGCAUACGCUCACUGGGUGGCAUCACUUGGUGAAGAAACUUUCGAGGCACUUAGAGGGGCUCGCGGCCUAUCAGCUUGUUGGUGGGGUAAUGGCCUACCAAGGCAACGACGGGUAGCUGGUCUGAGAGGAUGGCCAGCCACAUUGGGACUGAGAUACGGCCCAGACUCCUACGGGAGGCAGCAGUGGGGAAUAUUGCGCAAUGGGCGAAAGCCUGACGCAGCGACGCCGCGUGGGGGAUGAAGCAUUUCGGUGUGUAAACCCCUGUUGCUCGGGACGAAAAUUGGUUUGACCAAUCUGACGGUACCGGGUGAGGAAGCACCGGCUAACUCCGCGCCAGCAGCCGCGGUAA
rnacentral:rRNA from 1 species